GCUCCCCUUCACUAAAAUAUCUGCAGUUUUCUUUCACUGCAGGCUCUAUUCUCUCUCUAUUCUUUCAUCUGAAAAAUCAAGAUUUGAUGUUUAUAGUUGAUCCAAUGGUGCAAAUAGAUACGUUUUAUGAUUCUUGAUGUAAUGAUCUAUCAAUUGAGAUGCAUUUUAACGGCUGUUUACAAUCUUUCAUAUUUUGAUGCUUGAUGGUGCUGCAAAUAACAAUGGUGUCGUUGACGUAUUCGAGAAAAGGUCUGACUCAACUCCCCAACAUUUUCAAUAAGUUUUUUCUUUUUCUUU